GUUUGUAAAGGGGAAAACUUUCGCCUCACUCUUCAAGGGAACCACCCGCUCUCUGAAUGGAGUGACUUGCUACAGAGUGCGAAUAUGGAUUUCAAAUUGGAACAUUUUUGUAUGAUCACCAGUUCUGAAUUCAGUAGACUCUGGGCUUGUACGUGUGCAUAUUUUUCUUUCAAAUCUGGACCAUCCACGAUCCUUUGACAAUAGCUGCUGCUAUCUGGUGUGCAAUCAGAAACUACACAUGAAGGGUGCUGGAGGGACUCCCCUCUCCAAUCACAGGUCAGGACUUCUGGGGUGUCCUCCCACCAUCUCUGGCCCCAGCAGAGUUAAUUCCAGGCAUGGAUGUUCAACGUCUUCAUUACCCCGUGAUGCCCAUAUGCACCUAAAUGUGGGAACUGACAUUUUCCAGACAUUUGUGCUCCCUUUUCAAGUGCCGGUGCCCUUAAGAAACGGAACUUGGUGUACCUGCUUUUCCUGUGC
rnacentral:lncRNA from 1 species